rnacentral:rRNA from 1 species
CCCUCAUUGUCAGUUGCCAUCAUUCAGUUGGGCACUCUAGCGAGACUGCCGGUAAUAAACCGGAGGAAGGUGGGGAUGACGUCAAAUCAUCAUGCCCCUUAUGACCUGGGCUACACACGUGCUACAAUGGUUGGUACAACGAGUCGCAAGUCGGUGACGGCAAGCAAAUCUCUUAAAGCCAAUCUCAGUUCGGAUUGUAGGCUGCAACUCGCCUACAUGAAGUCGGAAUCGCUAGUAAUCGCGGAUCAGCACGCCGCGGUGAAUACGUUCCCGGGCCUUGUACACACCGCCCGUCACACCACGAGAGUUUGUAACACCCGAAGUCGGUGAGGUAACCGUAAGGAGCCAGCCGCCUAAGGUGGGAUAGAUGAUUGGGGUGAAAUCGUAA